rnacentral:misc_RNA from 1 species
CCGAGUUUACAACUCCCAAACCCCUGUGAACAUACCACUUGUUGCCUCGGCGGAUCAGCCCGCUCCCGGUAAAACGGGACGGCCCGCCAGAGGACCCCUAAACUCUGUUUCUAUAUGUAGCUUCUGAGUAAAACCAUAAAUAAAUCAA